UCAAAUAUCUCUAGCAAGCUAAUUAAGAUGAAAUUCAGAAAAUAAAGAAGAGAAGAUACCAAAAUCUAUCCAUUUUUGCUAAGAAAUGCAAAAUCCUCUUCCUCCAAGCCAAACUCAUGAUUUUCUCAUCCAAAUUCAAUAAACUUGGAGGCAAAAUGAUCACAAGAUCAUAAGGAAGCAAGGAUUUGAAGCUUGGAUCUUGGAGAAUUUAUGGAGGAUAUGAUUCGGUUAUCUAGUCAACAUAUCAAGCUUGAGGGAUAGUAUGAUAUGAUUUGAAGAGUCAAGCUUCCGAAGUUUUAAUUCUCGGAAGUCAUUUGCACAAGAAGUGAAAGAAGGUUUUCAUUCUAGCGGUCCGCAGUAGUCUAGAUGUUUUUUUUCUAUGUAUUUGUCUAGCGCAUUUUAACUCUGAUAUUUUUGUAAAAUGGGGUCACAUGUAUUUUGAUAUAUGAAAAAUGAUUUGAUUUGCGAAAAAUUUACACA